AAAUUGUGCUCAUCUCUUUUAUACCGUAUAAAAACUUCAUACCGUUAACUAUUAAAAUUAACUGCUAACUAAUUAGGUAUAAAUAGUAAAAUGAGGACUUUAGAGCCUGACUUCUCGAUAAUUCGGUAAUUUCCAAGAAUAUGAUUAGUACUGAAAAUGUUUAUUCGGCCAUUUUUCUUACCUGCACAAGCUUUUGUCUCCAAAUUAAGGAAACUGUUGAUAUGGAUUAGACUAUUCCAGUGGCACUUAUUAGUCGUUUCCAAUGGCAGAUUGCCGCUUUCAGUGCCUCUCACAUCCCCCGAGGAAAGCGAACGCAAAAUACAAGCUAUUAAAAAGUUUGCGACCUCAUCAACGCCGUUGGUGUUCGUUUUUGGUACUUGAUUGUCAGAUACCAUAUCUUCUUUAAGGAUCUCGGUGUUAUUUGCUAAUUAAAUUAAUCAUAAACUCGCACUUAAAGGCGCUAGUAAAAUUCUUCGUACGUUCGAAUACACGUUCAACACUCCGAAAAUUAUAUUCGUACACUGAAUAAGUAAAUAAAUGAUUUUGUUUUUCCACUAACAUGAUAAUAAAUAUCCUUUUCAAGUCUUAUAUUUAAUGUAAACCUUAAAUGUGCUUUGAGUUGACGGAAAUAUUUUUAUAAUAAAAAUUAGAUGCGAUGCUGAGCCUCGCUUGAGUAAAACUGUUCUAGGAAUCUUUUUUCGUUUUACAUCCAGGUAAGGAAAGAAGAAGCAGGUCACAAAGUUGUUGUAUAUGUAUGUAUAUGCAUAGAAAAUGGGUAGCAUAGAGGUGCAACACGUGUUUUUUUAUUUUUGUCUUGACCUUUCUGAGAAGGCAUUAAAUGCAAACAAAUUAGUUUCGCUCUUUUCAUAUAUACGUACAUACAGUGAGCCACAUUCAAAAUGGGACACUUCUUAUAUAAGAUCUUUUAACUUAAAUAAGAAUAUAAAUAUUUUUUGAUUUUAAUUUGUUUUUAUUUAUUUAUGUAUACUCGCAUGUAGGAAGUAGAAUUAUAAGAAUUAACUGCACUUAAAACAAAAGCAGGGAGAAGAAUUGAAUUUUGUACGAAAUUAUUGUCAUACAUUCUGUCAAAAUAAUAUCGGGAAUUGUUCAUUCAAAAAGCGCACGUUAUACAUACAUAUGUCUAAAUUUUUGUUUGCUGGAAUGUUGGUAUUUAAUAUUAAUUAAAUUUUGAUGAUUAAAUAGCUAUUUUGGGUUUUAUUGAACAAUUCCCGGUACUUCUAUGACAUAACGUAUAUGCUGCUCACACUCAAACACGGGCACCCCGCUUAUAACUGGCAAAACUAACAAAUGCAUAAACAUUAAUAUUUUGUCGAUUUCCUUUUGUAUUUUAUUACCUCCAGUAAGCGCCGUCGCAUACUUUCAAUUAGAUUUCGGUAGUAGCUGGUCUCAAUUUUUUCCCUUUCCUCGAAUACUGCUUGUUUUAAAUCUGA